GCCGAUUCGAGUGUAAACCAAUUCGAGGCCGAACCGAGUGUAGGUCAAUGUCGAAGCUCGUCGAACGGGUGAGGAACACUGCUAAGAAGCUUGUUCAAAGUGGGUGUUCAGUAUUCACUUCGCAGGCUAGCUCCGCCGCUGAGAAAAAUAUCACCGUCACAGAGCUGGUCGUGAAGCCCAGUGUGCUACCAUCGAAAAUAAGCUGAAGGCAUGGGUGCGGUGCGUAGCGACAGGUCGCCGGGGUGCGUGGUCUUCUCCGCUGCUCGUGGGUGUGGUCGCGCAAAGAUGGGUCAUCAAAGCUUGACUUUCGCGCGUGGUCGGAGGUAGUCGGAGGUCGUUAGAGAUGAACU
rnacentral:misc_RNA from 1 species